rfam:Sphaerobolus stellatus SS14 unplaced genomic scaffold SPHSTscaffold_275, whole genome shotgun sequence.
GGCGCGAUAGUUCAGUGGUACUACUGAUAGAAUCCACGAUUGCAAAUCGUGUUGUCCCGGGUUUGAACCCCGGUUGUGUCU